ensembl:lncRNA
GACUUCUGACUUGGUUUGGCAAGGAGAAUGCAGCAGAAUUGACAUCCUGAGAUUUAACGAGCCUUUUCAGAACGCUUUUGCUCAGAAAAAAACAGAUUUGCCAUGUAAAGAAGUCCAGAGUAGCCACGUGGAGAGAGAGGCCACAAGGAGUAAAACAGACACUCUACAGAGCAGAGAGGAGAGUCACCACUGAGCCCUGCCAGAAUUCCCCAUCCUCAGAACUGGGAGCAAAGAAAAUGAUUGUUAUUGGAUGCCAACAGGAUGUGGUGUUGAUUGUUAUUUGGAACUCAGCUGCACUCCCAGACUCCCUUGAAGCUACAUGCAGCCAUGUGACUGAGCUCUAGCAAAUGGAAUGUGGGUGAAAAUGAUGGCAGCACUUGAAGAUCUGGCCCAUAUGUGAUCCUUGUUCUCAUACUUCACCUACCUGCUGUGUGGCGAUAACUCUAAGAACCUAUUUGGAAGGAGUCUGAGUUCCUAACACACAGAGCAAGCUUCCCAUUCCCACCAACCUGCACUGGGC